ACUGCAGCUGAAAGAGUUUCCUCUAAGAAAAUAUAAAACACUUAAAAUAAUAAGAUAAAUGUUAAAACAGCGUCUCUGUUCUCUUAAAGAAGGUCAAAACCUGACAAAUCUAAUCUGUUUACUUCUUUACUACUACUUUACAUACAGACAUAAUAACAAACAUAAUAAUACUCACAACUGCACGAGUUUUAAACAUCCAUUAACUGGUAAAAAGUUUUCUAUAAACUGCAUCUUCACAAAUACAGUCUAUAUGUUGACCUGCCCUUAUGGAAAGGCCUAUAAGACAAACCUUUUCAAAAUCCCAUUUGUGUCCCCCUCACUCUCAGUACCUGAACAUCAUGCUCAACACGUUGCUGUCUGACCAGCUGUCAGAUUCUGAGCUGCUGAUUUUAAAGCCCUGAAAAAAAAAAAAGACCACAGACGACGAGUAGCGGACGGACAGCCUGCUUACGUGGGUCUGUGGUACAUUUUUGGUGUGUGUGGAUGCAGAUCACUGAACGAGCAGGCGGCGGUUCAUAAUAAUAAUGGAACGCCAACAGCAGCGGUUAAAUUUAAACCUGCAAUUUUACGUAUAAAUGAACGUCUGUUAAGCCGAAUGAGGUCAGACGAUGAUGAUUAAGCCAAUCACCACCAGGGAAAUCUAUUUCACAGUAUACAGAGUUUUAAAAUCUUAGACAGUGACGACAUUCCCACGCUAACUCGGCUAACUUCACGUUAGCUCUCUGCUAUCUCGAAUGUGGAUGAAAUAAUUUAAUUGUGCUCUUCUAGACUUUCCAAAUGUUAUCGGACCGAAUGGAUCAAAUCCUGAUGGUGAAACGAGUCAUUUCAUCGGGGUUUGUGUGACGCUCAAAACAAUUUAUCAACCAUCUAACAGCUGCGACAGUAGCGACAGAGCAGGCUAUAGCAGGGCCUCUGAUGUAAGCAAGUGUCGACAGUGUUUUUACAUCGUCAAUACGUCGAUACACUCUUGUUAUGUAACGUUGGCUAUCGAGCAAAAUAGUUGCCAGCCUGUCACAUAUUUCCAAAGGUGGAAAAAGUGAUUUGAUAAACUAAAUAUUUAAAGUGGUUGUAAAACAGCACGAUUUAUUUAUUAACCUAUGUAACUAUGUAAAACGAGUCCACCUUAAACCUUAAACCGCAGCAAGUAUCUGUUAACAUUGUCUGAAAAGCACAGUCUCUCUCGCUGCUAGUUAACAUUAGACUUACACAACACAGGCUCAACAGGUUGACUGGACUCUGGCGUCUGGUGUGUAUGGACGUCAGGGAGGGCGACGCAGCACUGAGCUGCAGGAAGAUCUGGAGUCAGCAGUGAGAUUAGAGUUUUUUUCCUGUUUGAGUGGAGUUAAAAGUCUGCAGUGGACACCAUGUUGUGGCUCCUGCCGCUGCUGCUCUGUGACAACCUGCUCUGCUACUUCAGCCCCGUCCUGGAGAAGGAGGAGAAAUUCAAGCUCAUCGUGACAGAACGUCCUGUCGUCCUGGGGCUGCAUGGCGGAGAUGAACAACUGCAGCCGGGUGCUUCCAACUCAAAGGAACCAACUACACCAUAAUCUACGCCUGCUGUGAUCGACCGUACUGUAACUGGUGCCCGAGUGUCACAGCCGAACUCUCCAUGACUGUAGGUGUGAUAGCCAGCAGCUUGAUUCACAAUACUAAGAGCUCCAUUAGAGGCUCAUGUCAGGAGGGAAGAUGCUUAUGUGGGUCAGCAAGAGUCUCUGCAGCCUCAGCGCAGAGUAAUGCUGACGGUCUGCAGGGUUCUCAACUGUUGUUUAUUUUAGUGUCUUAGUAGAAAUCUGUUUUUAGAAUAUUUAAAUGUCCAUGAAAUAAAACAUUUGUCCUUUUU